GGCUAACGGCAAGGGGCCGCGUUACCACGGUGUCGUUUCGUGACUGGGGUG
rnacentral:rRNA from 1 species